CUGUAACGCACUUCUUGGGCGUUUCCUCCCUAGACUCGGGCCGUGGCUUUCGCCACGGCCUUUUUUUGUCUGAAC
rfam:Skermanella aerolata KACC 11604 strain 5416T-32 contig30, whole genome shotgun sequence.